rnacentral:misc_RNA from 1 species
GAGAACUUGCCCUUCGGGGUAGAUCUCCCACCCUUUGUUUACCCUACCAUUGUUGCUUUGGCAGGCCCGUCCCCCGGGACCGCCGGCUUCGGCUGGCCCGCGCCUGUCAGAGGACCCCAAACUCUUGUUUAAUUGUCGUCUGAGUAUUAUUUAAUAAGUUAAAACUUUCAACAACGGAUCUCUUGGUUCU